ACGCAAAUAGCAGCUCUGGAAAUUAUUUGCCUCAUGGAGACAAUUAAGUAAUUUCUUAAAAGUCUAUGAAGGAAAACAUCUUUCAAAUAGUGAGGAAGAGUUAAUGUCAUAGACAAAAGCCAUUCAUCCAGAGAACCCACUUUUGAAGACAAAAGACCCCAAAGGAAUACUGGACUAUUCCACAUCAAAUACAAAAGUUGGGAGGUGGGGUACGGAAAAAGUGAGCUGCAUUUAUGAACUCCAAGAAGAAAACGAUGUGGAUCUGAUCAAUCUCCGGACCAAAAGAUUAAAAAAGCAAAAGUUCUAGGGGAGGAGAAGUAAAAUGUUUCCCAUGAAACUCUGAAAGCUUUAUUUCAGAAUAUUCUGAGAGUAGCCUGGAGACAUUUAUGCGUCUUAACAACCCCAGUCUAAAGAAAGGAGGUAACGUCUGACGCAUUCCUGGAAUUCGGAGCUUGCAGCCUAGUGUGGGGAGACACAUGUGUAAACGAAUAUGUCCAACGUGCUGAUGAGUCUGGACCUGUGCUGUCCAGUGUGAAGCCUCCUGUCACAUGUGACUAUUUAAAUUACAUACAACCCAUUGACCAACAGAUCCUGGCGCUGAGCAUGUUUUAUUACAUUUCAAGAAAUAUUUAAGAGGCAAAGCACCACCUCAAGAUUAUGAAGUCUUAUGUUUUGAUACCUACCUUAUUCAUUUGAACCCAUGGGGAAUUUUUGUAUAUUACUCAAAUGGGAAUCUAUACUUUCUCUGAAAUGAAUAGGUGUUUAUAUUAGGAAAGUGAAUGACUAAUGCCUGGGUACCAAAUACUUUUGCGAGCAGAUGUCUCUCUUCUUUAGUGAUAAAAAAUGGAGGGAUUGGGGCUGGCCCCGUGGCCAAGUGGUUAAGUCUGUGCGCUCCGCUGUAGGCGGCCCACUGUUUUGUUGGUUCGAAUCCUGGGCGUGGACAUGGCACUGCUCAUCAA